CACCCUUCUAAGACUGUCUUUGAGGAUUUCUAUGUGCAAUUUUUUUAUGUUUGUUUGGUUUUUUGGUUUAGGGGCUAUUUUCAUACAUCCUUCAUCCUGACAGACUCCAGCAUGCAGCUUUUCCCAAACUCAAGCCUUCUCCUCUGUUGGAGCAGUUCAUGUCAGGCAGCAGCUCGCCAUCAUAAGCAUCAAUGAUGUGUCUGGAAUAAAUUACAGAAUGCAAAGAGAGGUGGAAUACAAGCAAAGUUUAGAGAAGAAAAUACGUAUAAAAAAUCAACAAAGAUCAAUUGUGCAUAUGAUUAUUAUUUUUGAAGGAAGAAUACAAAGAAAAGAUAUAUUUAUUAUCUACUAGAGAAAAUGCUUCAUAAAUACAUAAAGGGACUUUUUAAUCUGAAAUUGAAAAGACAUAUUUUGAAAAAAGCAAAAAAAGCAUAAAAAUUAAAAUUAAAAUAGUUGAAAAGAUUAAGUUUAACCUUGAUGCAAUUACUAAAUUCAAGGAAAGGCAGAAUCUUUUAAGAUAUAUCCAGAAAUAAUAACGGAUCAUCUCCAAAGAAAUAAAGCUUGUCUGAGAUUUCUCCAGAAGAUCAGAUGGCAGCAGAUAUUAAAACAAGGUCUAAGGAAUGUUACAGGAAAGCUUAUGAAACUUUUAAUCUUUACUCAGUUGAGGUGUCGUUUGGUGGUAAAGGUAACAAGGGGCAUUUCAAAAAUAAAGAAAAGAAGAAAUAAUUGAAACUUUUCUGAAAAUCUGCUUGGACUUUUGAUUCUGCCCUACUCAUGAAUGGAGAAGCAGCAGUAUAUUAAAAAGUAGAAAUAGGUAUGCAUGAGCUGUAUCAAGAAAGUCUUUUUUUUUUUAAAGAUUGGCACCUGAGCUAACAACUGUUGCCAAUCUUUUUUUUUUUUUUUUUCUGUGUCUUCUCCCCAAAUCCCCCCAGUACAUAGUUGCAUAUUUUAAUUGUGGGUCCUUCUAGUUGUGGCAUGUGGGACAUUGCUUCAGCAUGGCCUAAUGAGCGGUGUCAUGUCUGCGCCCAGGAUCUGAACCAGCGAAACCCCAGGCCAACGAGGGGGAGCGCUCGAACUUAACCACUCGGCCAUGGGGUAGCCCCAAGAAAGUCUUCAUAUAAAUAAAAAAGUACCAACAGUAAAACUGAAGGAAAUAGGGCAAAAAGCUAAUAUUUGAUGAAACUGCACAGUGGGCUGUGGGAGUCAUGUUUUCUGCUAACCUUGUCAACACACAUUCUGGUUAUUUUUGUUUGCCUCUCCAUCUGUUUUCUGC
rnacentral:lncRNA from 1 species